rnacentral:rRNA from 1 species
GACGAACGCUGGCGGCGUGCCUAAUACAUGCAAGUCGAGCGGAAGUUGAAGAGCUUGCUCUUCAACUUUAGCGGCGGACGGGUGAGUAACACGUGGGCAACCUGCCCUGCAGAUCGGGAUAACUCCGGGAAACCGGUGCUAAUACCGAAUAGUUUUGGGUCCCUCCUGGGACCUAACGGAAAGACGGUUUCGGCUGUCACGGCAGGAUGGGCCCGCGGGGCAUUAGCUAGUUGGUGGGGUAACGGCCCACCAAGGCGACGAGUCGUAGCCGACCUGAGAGGGUGAUCGGCCACACUGGGACUGAGAAACGGCCCAGACUCCUACGGGAGGCAGCAGUAGGGAAUCUUCCGCAAUGGACGCAAGUCUGACGGAGCAACGCCGCGUGAGUGAUGAAGGUUUUCGGAUCGUAAAACUCUGUUGCGAGGGAAGAAACCGUGCCAAUUAACUACUGGCACCUUGACGGUACCUCGCCAGAAAGCCACGGCUAACUACGUGCCAGCCGCCGCCGUAA